UUGGGCAAAAGUUUCAAUUUGAUGAUGUGAUUGAAGCUCAACAAUUUGAUAGAGAAACUCUCAGUGCUAUAUUUGAAGUUGCAAGGAGUAUGGAGAAUAUUCGGAACAACUCGUCCGGGAGCCAAAUGCUAAAGGGUUACCUCAUGGCUACAUUGUUUUAUGAACCUUCCACUAGAACUAGGCUUUCAUUUGAAUCUGCCAUGAAAAGAUUAGGUGGGGAUGUUCUCACAACUGAAAAUGCUAGAGAGUUUUCGUCCGUGGCUAAAGGAGAGACGCUCGAAGGUGCGUGCCUGUAGUUUUUUAUUUGGCAAAAUCAAAGUUCAUUAAUGUAGUUUCAUUUCAAAAAAAUUCUGUAAGAAAUUUAUGAAUCUUCAUGUUACUUUGUCUGUUGCAGAUACUAUAAGAACGGUUGAAGGUUACUCUGAUGUAAUUGUGAUGCGGCACUUUGAAAGUGGUGCAGCCAAAAAAGCUGCAGCAACUGCUACCAUUCCAGUAAUCAAUGCAGGCGAUGGCCCGGGACAGCAUCCCACUCAGGUAUGAACGAAUUCUCUGUGAUACAUUUUAGUGCUGCAAAAUUGAAUGUUUCGCAGCGCAAGUCAAUCAGAACGAACAUAGGAUGAUACAUUUUUCUCAGCUAAUAAUGUGUCUAUUACCUUAAGAUAUGUGGAUAGAGAACUUUAAGACUGCAGAACUUGCAUUGCACCACUCCAUCUUCAUUUGUGACAUUGUACAGAAACUUUAUGGCAGUACCCCUUAUUCUGCUGAUGCAAUUAUAAGGGUAUUUGAAACAGAAAAUCAGCUACUUCAUAUAAUUUCUGAGGACAUACUAGUCUCUUAGCUAAAUGUACCUUGAAAUAUACUCUAUUUUUUGGCGCAUACCUUUGUUUACACUUUAUUUGUUAAUGCCGACCCAAUCGAUGUCACAUGUUUGUUGUGACAUUGUACAGAAACUUUAUGGCAGUACCCCUUAUUCUGCUGAUGCAAUUAUAAGGGUAUUUGAAACAGAAAAUCAGCUACUUCAUAUAAUUUCUGAGGACAUACUAGUCUCUUAGCUAAAUGUACCUUGAAAUAUACUCUAUUUUUUGGCGCAUACCUUUGUUUACACUUUAUUUGUUAAUGCCGACCCAAUCGAUGUCACAUGUUUAUCAUGUUUGUUGUCAUGUAUACCACUUAAAACUCUGCUUAUGCUGUGUAUGUAACGAGUCCUACUCUCGGAAAAAAGAGUAUAAUUGUUUUAGGAAGUCAACUGUUGAUGUAAAACUUUGUCCAAUCUAAAGGGCGCACUUCAAGUUGAAAGUGCACCUUUGUUUUCUGUUGGGCAAAAGUUUCAAUUUGAUGAUGUGAUUGAAGCUCAACAAUUUGAUAGAGAAACUCUCAGUGCUAUAUUUGAAGUUGCAAGGAGUAUGGAGAAUAUUCGGAACAACUCGUCCGGGAGCCAAAUGCUAAAGGGUUACCUCAUGGCUACAUUGUUUUAUGAACCUUCCACUAGAACUAGGCUUUCAUUUGAAUCUGCCAUGAAAAGAUUAGGUGGGGAUGUUCUCACAACUGAAAAUGCUAGAGAGUUUUCGUCCGUGGCUAAAGGAGAGACGCUCG
rnacentral:lncRNA from 1 species